rnacentral:rRNA from 1 species
UCAGGAUGAACGCUAGCGGCAGGCUUAACACAUGCAAGUCGAGGGGUAUAGUUCUUCGGAAUUAGAGACCGGCGCACGGGUGCGUAACGCGUAUGCAAUCUACCUUUCACAGAGGGAUAGCCCAGAGAAAUUUGGAUUAAUACCUCAUAGUAUAGCAGUUUCGCAUGAAACCACUAUUAAAGUCACAACGGUGAAAGAUGAGCAUGCGUCCCAUUAGCUUGUUGGUAAGGUAACGGCUUACCAAGGCAACGAUGGGUAGGGGUCCUGAGAGGGAGAUCCCCCACACUGGUACUGAGACACGGACCAGACUCCUACGGGAGGCAGCAGUGAGGAAUAUUGGACAAUGGGCGCAAGCCUGAUCCAGCCAUGCCGCGUGCAGGAUGACGGUCCUAUGGAUUGUAAACUGCUUUUGUACAGGAAGAAACCCUUUCACGUGUGGAAGAUUGGCGGUACUGUAAGAAUAAGGAUCGGCUAACUCCGUG